rnacentral:rRNA from 1 species
UACGGGGGGGCAAGCGUUGUUCGGAAUUACUGGGCGUAAAGGGCUCGUAGGUGGCCAACUAAGUCAGACGUGAAAUCCCUCGGCUUAACCGGGGAACUGCGUCUGAUACUGGAUGGCUUGAGUUUGGGAGAGGGACGCGGAAUUCCAGGUGUAGCGGUGAAAUGCGUAGAUAUCUGGAGGAACACCGGUGGCGAAGGCGGCGUCCUGGACCAACACGUGACACUGAUGAGCGAAAGCCAGGGGAGCAAACGGG